rnacentral:rRNA from 1 species
AAUCUUCCACAAUGGGGGCAAACCUGAUGGAGCAAUGCCGCGUGAAUGAAGAAGGUCUUCGGAUCGUAAAGUUCUGUUAUUAGAGAAGAACAAGUCAAGGAGUAACUGUCUUGACUUUGACGGUACCUAACCAGAAAGUCACGGCGAACUACGUGCAAGCAGCCGCUGUAAUACGUAGGUGACAAGCGUUGUCCGGAAUUAUUGGGCGUAAUGGGAGCGCAGGCGGUUGGCUUAGUCUGAUGUGAAAGCCCACGGCUUAACCGUGGAAGGUCAUUGGAAACUGUACAACUUGAAUGCAGAAGAGGUAAGUGGAAUUCCAUGUGUAGCGGUGAAAUGCGUAGAUAUAUGGAGGAACACCAGUGGCGAAGGCGACUUACUGGUCUGUGAUUGACGCUGAGGCUCGAAAGCGUGGGUAGCGAACA